rnacentral:rRNA from 1 species
CGAGUGGCGAACGGGUGAGUAACACGUGGGUGAUCUGCCCUGCACUCUGGGAUAAGCCUGGGAAACUGGGUCUAAUACCGGAUAUGACCAACUGUCGCAUGGUGGUUGGUGGAAAGCUUUUGCGGUGUGGGAUGGGCCCGCGGCCUAUCAGCUUGUUGGUGGGGUAAUGGCCUACCAAGGCGACGACGGGUAGCCGACCUGAGAGGGUGAUCGGCCACACUGGGACUGAGACACGGCCCAGACUCCUACGGGAGGCAGCAGUGGGGAAUAUUGCACAAUGGGCGCAAGCCUGAUGCAGCGACGCCGCGUGAGGGAUGACGGCCUUCGGGUUGUAAACCUCUUUCACCAGGGACGAAGCGUGAGUGACGGUACCUGGAGAAGAAGCACCGGCCAACUACGUGCCAGCAGCCGCGGUAAUACGUAGGGUGCGAGCGUUGUCCGGAAUUACUGGGCGUAAAGAGCUCGUAGGCGGUUUGUCGCGUCGUCUGUGAAAUUCUGCAACUCAAUUGUAGGCGUGCAGGCGAUACGGGCAGACUUGAGUACUACAGGGGAGACUGGAAUUCCUGGUGUAGCGGUGAAAUGCGCAGAUAUCAGGAGGAACACCGGUGGCGAAGGCGGGUCUCUGGGUAGUAACUGACGCU